AGGUGCGAUCAUACCAGCACUAAUGCAUUAGAUUCCAUCAGAACUCCGUAGUUAAGCGUGCUUGGGCGAGAGUAGUACUAGGAUCGGUGACCUCCUGGGAAGUCCUCGUGUUGCACCUC
rnacentral:rRNA from 2 species